rnacentral:rRNA from 1 species
AUGGAGCGCAACAUCAGUGUUGUCGUUCCUCAUCAGAACCUCGGCGACCUCUGCAGGCGUCACCGUCACCUCCUCGAUCAGCGCCUCGAUCUCCGGAUAGGUGACAUGGUAGUCAAUGGAAUGGUAGUUAUUGGCAAGGAUCCGGAAGGCCUCUGUGGUGCAGUACCCCAUGUGGAUGUGCAUGUCCAUCCUGCCAGGCCGCAGAAGUGCUGGGUCGAGACGCUCCUUGUAAUUGGUCGUGAAGAUGAGGAUCCUUUCCUCCCCACUUGUCGACCACAAGCCAUCUACAAAAUUGAGCAGCCCAGACAAUGUGACCUGUGUGUGCAGGCAGCCACAAAAUUGUCAUCAGCAUAG